rnacentral:tRNA from 1 species
AAUUUUGUUAGUUUAAAAAAAACGUGGACUUGUGGAGUCAAAAUUGCAAUAUCUUGCACAAAAUA